AGUUUGAUCAUGGCUCAGAUUGAACGCUGGCGGGAUGCUUUACAUACGUGAAGUCGAAAUCUGGCACGGACUGGUCUGGUGGCGAGUGGCGAACGGUGAGUAAUGCAUCGGAACGUGCCUAGUAGCGGGGGAUAAUUCACGCGAAAGCGUAGCUAAUACCGCAUAUUGCCCUUCGGGGGAAAGCGGGGACCUUCGGGCCUCGCACCAUUAGAGCGGCCGAUAUCGGAUUAGCUAGUUGGUGGGGUAACGGCUCACCAAGGCGACGAUCCGUAGCUGGUUUGAGAGGACGACCAGCCACACUGGGACUGAGACACGGCCCAGACUUACGGGAGGCAGCAGUGGGGAAUUUUGGACAAUGGGGGAAACCCUGAUCCAGCCAUCCAAGUGCGAUGGAAGGCCUUCGCUGUAAAGCAUUUUUGGCAGGAAGAAAACGGCACGGGAUAGCCACUCCUGUGCAACUGACGGUACCUGCAGAAUAAGCACCGGCUAACUACGUGCCAGCAGCCGCGGUAAUACGUAGGAAAAGCAAUCGGAAUUACUGGGCGUAAAGCGUGCGCAGGCGGUUCGGAAAGAAAGAUGUGAGAAUCCCAGAGCUUAACUUUGGAACUGUACUUAACUACCGAGCAGGAGUGUGUCAGAGGGAGGUGGAAUUCCGCGUAGCAGUGAAAUGCGUAGAUAUGCGGAGGAACACCGACGGCGAAGGUAGCCCCUGGGAUAACACUGACGCUCAUGCACGAAAGCGUGGGGAGCAAACAGAUUAGAUACCUAUCCACGCCCUAAACGAUGUCAACUAGCUGCUGGGGCCUUCGGCCUUGGUAGCGCAGCUAACGCGUGAAGUUGACCGCCUGGGGAGUACGGUCGCAAGAUUAAAACUCAAAGGAAUUGACGGGACCCGCACAAGCGGUGGAUGAUGUGAUUAAUUCGAUGUAAAACGCGAAAACCUUUACCUACCCUUGACAUGUCUGGAAUCCCGAAGAGAUUUUGGGGAGUGCUCGCAAGAGAACCGGAACACAGGUGCUGCAUGGCUGUCGUCAGCUCAAAGUCAGGAGAUGUUGCUGGUCCCGCAACGAGCGCAACCCUUGCCAUUAGUUGCUACGAAAGGCACCAAUGAGACUGCCGGUGACAAACCGGAUAGCUGCGGGGAUGACGUCAAGUCCUCAUGGCCCUUAUGGGUGGGGCUUCACACGUCAUACAAUGGUCGAUAGAGGGUCGCCAACCCGCGAGGAGCCAAUCCCAGAAACCUGAUCGCAGUCCGGAUCGCAGUCUGCAACUCGACUGCGAAGUCGGAAUCGCUAGCACUCGCGGAUCAGCAUGUCGCGGUGAAUACGUUCCCGGGUCUUGUACACACCGCCCGGUCACACUGAUGGGAGUGGGCUUUACCAGAAGUAGUUAGCCUAACCGUAAGGAGGGCGAUUACCACGGUAGGAUUCAUGACUGGGGUGAAGUCGCAACAAGGUAA
rnacentral:rRNA from 1 species